rnacentral:rRNA from 1 species
AUUGAACGCUGACGGAAUGCUUUACACAUGCAAGUCGAACGGCAGCACGGACUUCGGUCUGGUGGCGAGUGGCGAACGGGUGAGUAAUGUAUCGGAACGUGCCCAGUCGUGGGGGAUAACGUAGUGAAAAUUACGCUAAUACCGCAUACGAUCUAUGGAUGAAAGCGGGGGAUCGCAAGACCUCGCGCGAUUGGAGCGGCCGAUAUCAGAUUAGGUAGUUGGUGGGGUAAAGGCCCACCAAGCCAACGAUCUGUAGCUGGUCUGAGAGGACGACCAGCCACACUGGAACUGAGACACGGUCCAGACUCCUACGGGAGGCAGCAGUGGGGAAUUUUGGACAAUGGGUGAAAGCCUGAUCCAGCCAUUCCGCGUGCAGGAUGAAGGCCCUCGGGUUGUAAACUGCUUUUGUACAGAACGAAAAGGUUUCUACUAAUACUAGGAGCUCAUGACGGUACUGUAAGAAUAGGCACCGGCUAACUACGUGCCAGCCGCCGAAGUAA